ensembl:snRNA U6 U6 spliceosomal RNA
GAGCUUGCUUCGGCAGUACAUAUACUACAAUUAGAAUGAUACAGAGAAGAUUAGUGUGGCCGCCGGUGCAAGGAUGACACUUAAAUCCGUGAAUCCUUUCCAUGUGUUU